GUGGAUAUAGUUCAAUAGGCAGAACAAUUGUAUGUGAAACAAAUGGUUCUCUGUUCGAGUCAGGGUAUCCACC
rnacentral:tRNA from 1 species